UGGGCCGAGCGCGAGCCUGUUCGUCGUCGGCCUUGCUCGCUCGAUUGGAGCGGCCGCGAAACGAAGGGUAGCAGCAGCAGCGCCGUGCGAUUCGGAACGGACGGACCAAGGAGCGACGCCCGACGUCCCUCUGACGUUGCGCUUCUGGGUGGGUUCAGUUCGGUUCUAGGGCUCCGAUAGGAACGUUGCCAUGGCGGCGGCGGCGGCGGGAGGCGAUGGUGAGGCGGCGGUGAUGCGGGCGGAGGUCGCCGCGCUCCGGCUCCGCGUACAGGAGUUGGAGAGGGAGAACCAGAGGCUGGGUAAGAUUGCUUCGAGAUGCACCUGCGGCAGCUCCAAGGACGACAGUGCUGCUUCCUCUCCAGUAGUUAGUGAAAGUUUGUCCAGCAGUAAACAAGAACCACAGAAGAACGUAAAGUCACAUUGUAGAGGUUGCCAAGUGGGGGUUGUAAGUCACUGCCCAAAGCGAUUAAUUGCUCUGAAAAUCAUGUACUUUGGUCAGAGAUUUUAUGGCUUUGCUUCAGAAGCCCACACAGAGCCUACAGUUGAGUCUGAGAUAUUUAAAGCACUUGAAAGGGCGAAGCUUCUGGUUGGAAGUAGGAAAGAAUCAUGUUAUUCUAGGUGUGGAAGAACUGAUAAGGGGGUUUCUGCUACUGGACAGGUAAUUUCCUUAUUUCUGCGAUCCAACAUAAAAGAUGCCAAAUUGGAUGUACUAGACAACAAAUCUGAAAUUGAUUAUGUAAAAGUAUUGAAUAGAAUCCUUCCACACGAUAUACGUGUAAUUGGCUGGUGUCCCGUUGCAGGAGAUUUUCUUGCAAGAUUCUCUUGUUUGGGCAGGGAAUAUAAGUACCUGUUUUGGAAGGGCGACUUGAAUAUAUCGGAAAUGCAGAAGGCUGCAUUAAAAUUCAUUGGCGAACAUGACUACAGGAAUUUCUGUAAGAUGGAUGCAGCAAACGUGAGUAACUACAGGCGACAUAUUACAGAUUUUAAUAUUUCAGCCUAUGACCAAAGGUCUAACUAUGAUGAGCUGUGGGCCAUCACAAUCAAGGGGAGUGCCUUCCUGUGGCAUCAAGUUCGCUGCAUGGUAGCUGUGCUAUUUCUUAUUGGUCAAGGUCUUGAGACACCAUGUAUAGUUGAUUCAUUAUUGGAUAUUACCAAAACUCCUAGAAAACCUCAAUACAAGAUGGCAUCAGAGAUUCCAUUGAUUCUGCGAUCCUGUCUGUUUGAUGAGGUCAACUUUAUGUGUUCAUCAGAGGCCAGUCAAGCUUUGAUUGAGCACUUGAAAGAUGAAUAUCAUCAGUAUAUGCUCCAGGCUGCAAUAUUUUGUGAGGCAUUGUCCUGUUUAUGUUCUCCAGAGCCUGAUCCAUUUGAACCUCGUCACAAGAAGAGGAAUCAUAUUCCUCUAAUGUCACGACAAACAGAACCUUCGUAUGAGGAACGGAUAGCAAAGGUCAAAACAAAGUCAGCUUGUAGUGUGUAGUUACGUGGCUAGCUUCAGUAUCGCAUCAAGAGUUUCAAACGAUGGGUGAAUCCUUCAAGGAUCAGUGCUGCAUAGUGUCAUAGUCAUCCAACUCCAAGGGGCAAUGUCUAAAUCCAUAAAGUUUGGGUUCUCGAUAUGUGGCGAUUUAAACUGACAAAGGACAAUUGGUGGCAUUUUAUCAGUUCAUACAGCAAUAUGCACCAUCCUCUGCUGGCUAUUCUAGCCUUCUGGGUACAGGACAUAAUGCUAGGGAAGGCCAUGUUGUGCAUUGCAUUUUGAGUAUGUUGUAAAAUACUUCCAAGUCAUGUAGAACAACACAUAUCAGAUCCUUAGUUCCUUACAUACAUCUGUAGCAGAAUUGUGCUACCUCCGUUUCAAAUUAUAGCAAUCUAGAAUUGAAUUAGAUGCAUACUAGUACUAUGAAUCUGCGUAGUGGGUGUGUUCAGAUUUUAA